AAAUAGUCUUGGCUAUCAUCCUGUUGUCUACAUUUUUUAUAACAUGGACAAUGUUUAUCCAAAUUACACAGUCAAAAUUGCAUUCAGAUAUCUGUCUGCCUGUUGUCAUGAGUGUUGUAACAUUUCAGUACAAGAUUUAAUGACUGAACAUAUGUUGUUGGCCAGCAGAAUUUUUGAGUCUUUUUGUUUAAAAGGAAGACAGUGUUAUCCCUUGUAAAACAGCUAUUGUGUGUAAGAGAGACUAAAUUCUUAUAUUCAUCAUCUACUUACUGAUAACAUAUAGGUAUAGUUACUCUUGUUUUGUACUUUGUGAAGGAGAGAAACAGUGCAUAAUCUGUGGUUGAGAUUAUAGACCUGGAAAGUCAAAAGUGUCAGAGUUGUAACCCAGACUUUUUUAAUGAAGCAUCAGGUUGUGAUCAUAUGAUCUAUAUAACAAUCAACUUUACCAUCUGUAUCUUCUGGACAUAAAAAUUAAAGUAUAUAAAAUAUUAGGUAGUUGUCCAAACAUUAGUAUGUAGUAGAGUAGUAGUAGUAGUAGUAGUAGUAGUAGUAGUAGUAGUAGUAGUAGUAGUAGUUGUAGUAGUAGUAGUAGUAGUAGUAGUAGUAGUAGUAAUAGUAGUAGUAGUUACAUGUAGGGAACACAGGAGUCACGUGGUAGAGAAGAGUCACAGUGAUGCUUCUCAAAGUUGAUAAGCUGGUUGCUAUCAUGCUAUCUAUAGCUGCAUACUUACCAAAUGCCUGUUUUAGUUCUCUCUUCAUUAUCAUAAUACAUCUUUAUUAGUCUUGCCAUAAUAUAGGUCAGUAUUAUUACCCUUUGGUAAAUCCUUAUUGUGUGGUGAGAUAGGAAGAUAUCUCAUGGGAACCAGAAAAGGGGGUUCUGCAAAUAAUGGCACUUGCUGCCGAGGCUGACAAUCUGAGUUUAAUUCUCAGAUCCUACAUGGUGGAAAGAGACGACUAACUCUUGAAAGUUGUUACCUGAUCUUUGCAACUGUGUUAUGUCAUGCUUGCACAGACUCACAGACUGAAUAAAUAAAUAAAUAAAUAAAUAAAUAAAUAAAUAGGAUGUAGCUUAUAAAAUUAUAGGAUACCAUAUAUUAGCUUUAUCAUUUCCCUUUCCCAUUUCUCCAACAUAUUAGACAAAUGUUAAUACCUGCAAGGAUUUCUUUACCUUAUGAAUCAUGCAUUGACUUAGUAGUAGAAAACUCGUAAUUCUCACUUUUCUUCAGGCAAGCGAAUGUUUGCAGAAAUUCCAACAACACACUAACACUGCACUACUUCUGAGUUAGUGAAAGUAAUUAAAAUUCCCCAGGCAAAUAUAGAGUGUAAAUAACCAUAAAACUGUAGUGUGAACUGGGGGUGUAGUUCAGGGCUAAAGUGCUUUCUAGCAUGUGGUAGGUCCUGGGCUCUAUUGUCCUGCAAAGGAAACAACCACAAAAGCAAAUUCGUUUUUCCAAGUUACAUAGAGUCAAAAGUGCCUUGUCUAACAUCUAAGAGAUAAUAGAAAACCAAUUUAAAUGUGCAUAUAUUACAUAUAAUUUUAAGUAUUUUAAGUAAAAAGAAAAAAAUUGAUAUACAUGGUACCAGUAAGAUAAUUAAAGCAUGGUUCAAAGUCAAAUUAUAAUGUCAAAUUAUAGCUACCAGAGAAUAUUAAAAGUUUAAGAGGAGAAAGCAUCUACAGAAUUUUUCCUACCAUAGAGUUGAUUGACUUAGCAAAUGAGCCUAAAUUUUUCAUUGUUUUCUUUGGAGGGAGUGUUUUCUUAGUUUUUGGUUUUGUUGUUUGCUUAUUUUGGGACAUGGUUUUAUUAUGUAGCACUGACUGGCCUGGAACUCUCUGUGUAGACCAGGCUGGAUUUGAACUCACAGAGCUGUAUCUGCCUCUGACUUCCCAGUACUAGACUUAAAGAUAUGCAUCACAAGUCAGGUAUGGUGGUGCUUGCUGCUUUUUCUCAGCACUCAGAGGCGAAGGCAGGCAAGUCUCCGGGUUUCAGGCUAAUCUGAUCGACAAAGUCAAUUCCAGAAAAGUCAGGGUUGUAAUCAGAGAAACCUGCUCCUUGCCUUGAAAACAAAAGUAUGCAUGAUUAACCUGGUGGGAUAUUAUUUUUUUUUAUUGAUUAUUUCCAAACUCCUGGUUAAAAAAAAAUCUCAGGUAAGUUUAAUAUAGUAUUUAUUUCUAUAUAUAUAUUGAUUUCUAAAACACUAUAUUGUUUAAAACAUUUAUUUGGUCCUUUAAAAAGGAUCUAUAAUAUAAGUCAUGUCCAUCCUACAUACAUGUUAAUUCCUAUUCAUUGAUUAAAGUCUACACGGAAGAUGCUGCAGUUACUCCAUACUAUUGAGUUUUGUUUUUGUUUUUGUUUUAACGAUUUUUUUAAAACUCUUUUGUUAAAGAUGUAUUUAUUUUUCCUAUGUAAGACAUAUCAGAAGGGGGUGUCAGAUUCCAUUACAGAUGGUUGUGAGCCACCAUGUGGUUGCUGGGAUCACUGGAAGAGCAGUCAGUGCUAUUAACCACUGAGCCAUCUCUCCAGCCCCAAUACUAUUGUUUUCUCAGGUAUAAAUGCAAAUGCUUAAGGAGAAUGAGCAUUAGCAAGAAUGGCAAAUAAAAGCAAGUGCAUCCUUUCAUGGUCCUCCUGGCAGAGAGCUGAUGUGACUCUAGAAGGCAUAGACAGCUUGCCCGGAAGUGCCCACAUCCCAACAAGACCCACUCUUUCUUCCAUGUUCUACCUCAUUCUACAUCCAAGCACUUACAAAAUCGUCAGGGAAAACAGAUUUUACCAUGACAGUUUUAGAACUGCUGUAGUCUUAAUAGGUUUCGGGCUCUGUAAAUUAAUACACUUCCUAUC
rnacentral:lncRNA from 1 species